AGAGCUACAAAAAUCUAUGGAAAAAAAGACUACCUAGAAAGCUCGUCAGACUUAUCUCGGUGUUAUAAAGGGACUGCUCCUUGAGCAGCUCCUACUGCAGAAGAAUCAGGACUCUGAACAGCUUGUCGUACAGCUCCUGAUCUCCUCUAGGACUACAUCAUUUCUGUUCGGAGAUAAAUUGGGAGUGGCCCAAGUCCAAUUGAAGCCCCACGGGUGAUCGGUAGCAAUGUAAAAGAAUUUAUUCUUCCACCCGUGGAUGGAAGAAGGAAGCCCCUUUAUAACUAAUGAUGGGGCCAA
rnacentral:lncRNA from 1 species